rnacentral:snRNA from 1 species
GAAUGGGAAGGAGGUCUGACUACGACACCUGUCACGCUGUUGAUCACCAAGGUUGAUUCAGCUGUCUAGCUGGGUGUGCGCUUCACCCCUCAUGACUUCCAGUAAGCCCCUCGAGAGGCUGCCCACUGUGUGGGAGAGAGUGUCCUUUCCCCACCGCAGGAGUAGCUGCGCUCCCGCUAGAACCUCCGCCCAACUCACGAGGUCCUUUUGUUGGAGACUGUAGGGGAGUCCAGCUUCUAAGACGCCACAUCCAAGUGAGGUGCUGCAUGUGGCAGCCUGCUUGUCUU